CAUUGUGAUGUGAGCAUUUGAGCAAGAGGUCCCUAAAGCGUUCCCAUGUCUCAAAAAAUAGUUCCCCAUACAAUUGUGAGAAACUAAUGAUUGCCUUCCUCAGUUG